UACAGAGGUCUCAAGCGUUGUUCGGAUUCAUUGGGCGUAAAGGGCGCGUAGGCUGCGGGGCAAGUCGGGUGUGAAAUCUCAGAGCUCAACUCUGAAACUGCACUCGAUACUGCUUUGCUCGAGGACUGGAGAGGAGAUUGGAAUUCACGGUGUAGCAGUGAAAUGCGUAGAUAUCCGGAGGAACACCAGUGGCGAAGGCGACUUUCUGGCCUGUUCUUGACGCUGAGGCGCGAAAGCUAGGGGAGCAAACGGG
rnacentral:rRNA from 1 species